rnacentral:rRNA from 1 species
AUUGAACGCUGGCGGCAGGCUUUACACAUGCAAGUCGAACGAGCGGCGGACGGGUGAGUAAUGUCUUGGAAUCUGGCCUAUAGAGGGGGAUCACUACUGGAAACAGUCGCUAAUACCGCAUACCAUCGGAUGAACCGAAAUGGGAUUAGGUAGUGGGUGGGGUAAUGGCUCACCAAGGCGACGAUCCCUAGCUGGUCUGAGAGGAUGACCGGCCACACUGCGACUGAGAAACGGCCCGGACUCCUACGGGAGGCAGCAUUGGGGAAUAUUGCGCAAUGGGGUAAAUCCUGAGGAGGCCAGGCCGCGUGGAUGACGAAGUCCUUUGGGUUGUAAAGUUCUUUCGGCGGAGAAGCGUUAUUCACAGAAGAAGCACCGGCUAACUACGUGCCAGCAGCCGCGGUAAUUC